UACAGAGGGUGCGAGCGUUAAUCGGAAUUACUGGGCGUAAAGCGUGCGUAGACGGUUAUUUAAGUCGGAUGUGAAAGCCCCGGGCUCAACCUGGGAAUUGCAUUCGAGACUGAAUAGCUAGGGUACGGUAGAGGGAAGCGGAAUUUCCGGUGUAGCGGUGAAAUGCGUAGAUAUCGAGAGGAACACCGGUGGCGAAGGCGGCCAACUGGACGAAUACUGACGCUGAGACUCGAAAGCGUGGGGAGCAAACAGG
rnacentral:rRNA from 1 species